AUACAAACAACAUUAAAUGGAC
rnacentral:piRNA from 2 species